UCCUUAGAGCAUCCGCAACGCAGUUACGUCGCAAGUCUUUAGCGAUAAAACCUAGGAUCAUUUGAUUAGAAUAAUAUUAUUAGAGAUAAGUAAUCUAAGGAUAAAUCCUUAAAUAAGGAUUUAACGGACUCAAUCCUUAGCGACGUGGCAGAGGAAAAAAAAAUCGACGAAAGAUGACUAGAAGCGUCGCCGCGUCGGAUUCUCUCCAGCCGCGAAGAGGAAGUUGGUUCUCCUGAUGUUUCAUGUGUUACUCUUGUUGAUCUGAAUGAUUUUUUUGAUGGAGAUGAGAAGAUAUAUGGUUACCAAGGGUUGAAGAUCAGUGUAUGGAUCAAUAGCAUUUCGUUGCAUUCUUAUGCUGAUAUUACAUACCAGAGCACAACCAGUGGAGACAAAGGCAUUACGGACCUCAAGUCUGCUUUACAGAACAUAUUUGGUGCAAGCCUUUUCCACAGAAAGAGAUUUUAUCAGGUGCACUACUACUGGAUUCUCUCAUACUUCCUAAGAACUCUAUAUUAAUAACACCAUUGAACAUAGAUUUUAUACUAGAAUCCUUAGCUAUUCUGAAAAAAAGAAAUAGUAAUAUUUUAUGGCUAAGGACUCCAAUGGUGGGUAAUACCAUUGGAGUUGCUCUUAGUAAAUCCAAAAGAUUUUUGC